UCAAAUGAAUGGACAAUCCUCGAAGGAGUUGCAAUCUCAGACUCAGCAACGGGAGAAGCCAAGUUUACAGUCGAAUUCAAAGAACCUGCUUUGACAGCACCUUUUUGGAUUCUUGAUAUAGAUUAUGACCAAUUCUUUGUACCUUACUCAUGUCUUGUACAGGAUGGGGAAGUUAUAGAGAACCUUUUUAUAUAUACAAAAAGUUUAAAUCCAUCGAAUGAUACGAUAAAUGCUGCAGUCAAAGUUAUUACCGACAACAAUCUUGAUGCCACUAAAUUAUUACAUACCGAUCAAACAUGUGAUUACUAAUGAGAAUACAUUUAAAGUUUAUUUUUA
rnacentral:lncRNA from 1 species